GUUGGGUAGGGGAGCGUUCUGUAAGCCUGUGAAGGUGUGUCGUGAGGCAUGCUGGAGGUAUCAGAAGUGCGAAUGCUGACAUAAGUAACGAUAAAGCGGGUGAAAAGCCCGCUCGCCGGAAGACCAAGGGUUCCUGUCCAACGUUAAUCGGGGCAGGGUGAGUCGACCCCUAAGGCGAGGCCGAAAGGCGUAGUCGAUGGGAAACGGGUUAAUAUUCCCGUACUUGGUGUUACUGCGAAGGGGGGACGGAGAAGGCUAUGUUGGCCGGGCGACGGUUGUCCCGGUUUAAGCGUGUAGGUGUGUGUUCCAGGUAAAUCCGGUUCACUUUAACACUGAGGCGUGAUGACGAGGCACUACGGUGCUGAAGCAACAAAUGCCCUGCUUCCAGGAAAAGCCUCUAAGCAUCAGGUAACAUCAAAUCGUACCCCAAACCGACACAGGUGGUCAGGUAGAGAAUACCAAGGCGCUUGAGAGAACUCGGGUGAAGGAACUAGGCAAAAUGGUGCCGUAACUUCGGGAGAAGGCACGCUGACACGUAGGUGAAGUGAUUUACUCAUGGAGCUGAAGUCAGUCGAAGAUACCAGCUGGCUGCAACUGUUUAUUAAAAACACAGCACUGUGCAAACACGAAAGUGGACGUAUACGGUGUGACGCCUGCCCGGUGCCGGAAGGUUAAUUGAUGGGGUCAGCGCAAGCGAAGCUCCUGAUCGAAGCCCCGGUAAACGGCGGCCGUAACUAUAACGGUCCUAAGGUAGCGAAAUUCCUUGUCGGGUAAGUUCCGACCUGCACGAAUGGCGUAAUGAUGGCCAGGCUGUCUCCACCCGAGACUCAGUGAAAUUGAACUCGCUGUGAAGAUGCAGUGUACCCGCGGCAAGACGGAAAGACCCCGUGAACCUUUACUAUAGCUUGACACUGAACAUUGAGCCUUGAUGUGUAGGAUAGGUGGGAGGCUUUGAAG
rnacentral:rRNA from 1 species